CGGGUUCCAGAGUGGUCAUUCAUUGAAUGGCAAAACUGAUUGGUUUGGAUUAGGGCUAGGGCUUUUAAGGUUUCACCUUGUUUUCCCUGUGCUGCGAAAUUCCGUGACGCAUUCAUUCUUCGUGCUGCUUAUUAGAAACCAUUUUUCCAGCACUGUCACUGCACUUUCUUUGGACGCUCUUGUCGCCAUUUUUGAUUUGGGCGCUAUUGUACCUGGUGCUCAUCGUCCAAACAUCUGUGGCAUCGACUUUUAUAGAUUUCACCGAUUGUUUCUCAAGGAUUUGUUUUGUGUUGCCAAUCUUAAUGGACUUACCCCACUCUCAAUCAAAUUGGUCUCUUGGGGUUUCUUCUCAUGCUUGGACAUCUCACCGUGCCCGUAUGCCUGACGAUUCCAUUUCCCUCCAGCUCGACUCAAGCCUCCGUGAUCCGAUGCACCCGGUUCCUCCGGUUCCACUCCAAUUGUUGGAGCCGCAUACGGAGAAUCAUAGGGCAGAGAAUGGAAACUUGAGGGUAGAAUCUGAUGAAGACGAUGAUAGAGAAGUUGAGGAGUUUCGGAUUCUUGGUCAUUCAAUGUGCUUGAAGAGGCGAAGAGAUAGCGAAUCAUCAUCGUCUUCUUCAAAUUGCAAGAGGGUUUCGGUCGAACCAGACCUUGAGACGCGGAGAGCUGCUGUUCGAUCAUGGGGUAACCAGCCCCUAGAAGUGGCAGACCCUGAUAUCUAUGCGAUAAUGGAGAAGGAGAAGCAAAGGCAAUAUAAAGGGAUUGAGUUGAUAGCUUCUGAAAAUUUUGUGUGUCGGGCUGUGAUGGAAGCCCUUGGAAGCCACUUGACGAAUAAAUACUCCGAGGGAAUGCCAGGGGCGCGAUAUUACGGAGGGAAUCAACAUAUUGACGAAAUUGAAACGCUCUGUUGUGAACGUGCAUUGGCCGCAUUCCAUCUUGACCCCGAAAGUUGGGGUGUCAACGUCCAACCUUAUUCAUGCACCUCAGCUAAUUUUGCUGUAUACACAGGACUGCUGUUGCCUGGUGAUCGUAUCAUGGGGCUGGAUACACCAUCUGGAGGAAAUACUAGCCAUGGGUACUAUACUCCAAGUGGGAAGAAAGUUUCAGGGGCGUCAAUAUUCUUUGAGAGCUUGCCGUACAAGGUGAACCCACAAACUGGAUAUAUUGAUUUUGAUAAGCUUGAGGAAAGGGCACUUGAUUUUCGUCCCAAGAUUCUAAUUUGUGGUGGCAGCUCAUAUCCCCGAGAAUGGGAUUAUGCAAGGUUUAGGCAUAUCGCUGACAAAUGUGGAGCUAUUUUAAUGUGUGACAUGGCGCAGAUCAGUGGGCUAAUUGCAGCCAAGGAAUGUGCAAAUCCUUUUGAUUGUUGUGAUAUUGUUACUUCAACAACUCACAAAAGCCUUCGUGGUCCUAGGGGAGGUAUAAUUUUUUACAGGAAAGGUAUCAAACCAAGGAGGAGAGGGAGCCAGGGACAUGAAAGUGAUCAAUAUGACUUUGAAGACAAGAUAAAUUUUGCUGUCUUUCCAUCAUUGCAAGGGGGACCACACAAUAACCAUAUUGCAGCUCUGGCCAUAGCUUUGAGACAAGUGGCUACUCCUGAGUAUAAGGCAUACAUGCACCAAGUGAAGAAGAAUGCCCAAGCUUUAGCAUCUGCUUUAUUGAGAAGAAAUUGUCGUCUUGUGACUGGGGGUACUGACAACCACCUAUUACUUUGGGAUUUGAGGCCUUUGGGCUUGACAGGUUUGGUUUGAUUCACUUGUUUUGUUGGAUUCUUUGAUGUUACCCGUCUUUAUGAACAUUAGUAUAUGUGCUUAUAGACAUUAUUCUAAAAACUGCGUAUCUUCAAAGGGUCUUGCAUCCAGCUUAACUGUAGCAGUCUAUAGUAUGCGCUUAAGUUUGUUCUACCUGUUAUAUCCUAUCUUCUGUGAUUACUAUCCACGGGCUGGAUGUUGAUAAUUUAUUUUGAAGUAACUGUGAGUCUGUGGUGUAUCACGUUUUCUGCCUUCUGCUAAUUUUUUUGGGGAUAUAAAGGAAGCACAAGCACUUAAGAGUUGGAAAUGGGGAAAGUAGCAAGGAAGGGAUGAAACCUAGCUAAGUUAGGCCCUUUCCUUGAACUAAGGUUCUCUGGCUUUUUGUUCCACAUGUUAAUGGGAUCAACCAUCUUGCAUAGAUCCCUGGUUGACAUUGUAUAUGACAGAUGGCUUACAUUCCAUUCAAUUCUGGUGGCCAUGGCCUUAAUUGGUCUUCAUUUUAUCUAAAAUGUAUCGUGCCGUGGGUAUUCAUUUCGGGAGCUUCGAGAGUUCUUCCUACAUAUAUGAUACAUUCUGUUUCUGGCUAGUUAUACAAUAUUCAGGGAUGUCAAGACUCAAAAGCAUGAGCUAACUUGAAGUGUCAAAACCCCAAAAGGCAGAGGCAGUGGAUUGGGUGCCUUCCUAAACUGAAGUGGCCAUUUAAAAAAAAAAAAAAAAGAAAAAAAAAAGAAAAAAUUGUUAAGCAAUUGGUGGAGCCAUCAGCAAUUUAAAAAAAAAUUGACAAUUCAAUGCAAAUUAACUCGUGAAUUCAAUCAUGAUGUUGAAAAAAUGUAGUUGGAGGGGCUGAAGGGCACAUUUCCCGAUAUGAAAUGGAAUUUGAGAUUUGGAGUGAAAACUAAACUGGAGUACUGUAUGGAGUUUGAGUCUGUAACAGAGAAUGGAUAUUGUCAUACUGGCCACGUGAGGAACUAAUUUCUCUCUGAUGUCAAACUAAAUGGAGGGCUUGAAACUUCACAUAAGUUAUCAAAUCAGUGUUGACAGCAACUAUAAUGCAGAAUUUGGCUUAACGUUGACUAGAAAAACAAUAGCAGCUAUGAAAUCAGAAGAGGGAGAAAAGCUUUGUAAUACUUGAGAUUCCUGCGGAAAUGAAAGAAAGAGUGUUAGCAGCAUCUGUCUUGCUAUCUCUUUAAUAGGCAUGUGUAUCUUCCUUCAGGCGUUGAAGCCUUAUACAGUCAUACUUCAGGGAGCGUUGCAGAAUUGUGUGAAUAUCUGAGUGUGUAUAUGGAGCUUAUUUGGCUGAGCGCACCUUUAAUUCCCAUGCUCAAUUACCCAAAGGCUAUCUUGUAAUUUGAAUGGGUAAAUACUAUGAGAAGAUCUGUGAAGCAUGUCAUAUUACUUUGAACAAAAUUUUUGUUUUUGAUGACAAUGGAACCAUUACUCC